GAAAUGUGUCAAAGAGACAACAACCUAAUCAAAGAGCGAUAAACAGACAAAGGCCACCAAUAGAUCUUCAUUACAGCAAGAAAAUCACACACCCGAGGCAUGCUGUAGCUGGCCCCUAAACAAAAAUGUGUAUUAGUUCAGUGAUAAUGGACGUACUAAACUUUGAAAUAUAUAUAAAAAGAAACUAAAAUUAAAAAUUUUACAAGACCAAAAAAGGCCUGAGGCUCAGGACUGACUUGGGACAGGCACGGAAAUGCUGUGAGUUAAACAUGUUUUUAAGAUCUAAACCCUCCC
rnacentral:lncRNA from 1 species